rnacentral:rRNA from 1 species
UACGUAGGUGGCAAGCGUCGUCCGGAUUUACUGGGCGUAAAGAGCGCGCAGGCGGUCGUUCAAGUCGCGUGUGAAAGCCCCCGGCUCAACUGGGGAGGGUCACGCGAUACUGAUCGACUCGAAGGCAGGAGAGGGAAGUGGAAUUCCCGGUGUAGUGGUGAAAUGCGUAGAUAUCGGGAGGAACACCAGUGGCGAAGGCGACUUCCUGGCCUGUUCUUGACGCUGAGGCGCGAAAGCUAGGGGAGCAAACGGG